rnacentral:lncRNA from 1 species
UUUUUUCCAUUAUAGUUUGUUUACAGUAUUCUGUCAAUUUUCUACUGUAUAGCAAAUUGACCUAGUCACACAUACAUAUAUACACUCUUUUUCUCACAUCACACUACAUCAUGCUCCAUGAUAAAUGACUAGAUAUAUUUCCCAGUGCUAUACAGCAGGAUCUCAUUGCUUAUCCAUUCCAAAGAUGAUAGUUUGCAUCUAUUUACCUUUAUUCCAUUUUGAAUUUGUUUUUGUAUAUGGAUUAGCAAGUUGUCCCGUUUGAUUUUUUGUAUGUAGCUGUCCCAUUUCCCAACACUGUUUAUUGAAUAGGUUGCCUUUUCCAUUGUAUAUUCUUGCCUCCUUUGUUGUAGAUUAAUUUACUGUACAAGUGUGGAUAUAUAUCUGGGCUCUCUAUUCUUUUUCAUCAAUCUGUGUGUCUGUUUUUGUGUCAGUACCAUCCUGUUUUGAUUACUAUAGCCUUGUAGUAUAGUUUGAAAUUAGAGGAUGUGAUACCUUCAGCUUUGUUCUUCUUUCUCAAGAUUGUUUUGGCUAUUUGCGGUCUUUUUUGUUUCCAAAAAAAUUUUAGAACUGUCUGUUUUAGUUCUGUGAAAAAUACCAUUUGUAGUUUGAUAGAGAUUGCAAUGAAUCUGUAGAGCUCAUUGUCUAACAUAGACAUUUUAACAAUAUUAAUUCUUCCAAUCCAAGAGCAUGGUGUAGUUUUCUGUUUGUUUGUGUUGUCUUUUGUUUCUUUCAUCGGCAUCUUAGAGUUUUCCAAAUGUAAGGCUUUUACCUCCUUGGUUACGUUUGUUUCUGGGUAUUUUUAUUCUUUUUGAUGAUGUUGUAAAUGGGAUUGUUUUCUUAAUUUCCCUUUCUGAUAGUUCACUGUUAAUGUAUAGAAAUGCAGCAGAUUUCUGUGUAUUAAUUUUGUAUCCUUCUGAAAAUUAUUAGUAAGUUGAUAAGACUAUGUUAUAUUCCAUUUGUUAAUGCUUCUUUUAAAAAUUAAGAAUUUAGGAAUUCCUGUCCUGGCUUAUUGGUUAAUGAAUCCAACUAGAAACCAUGAGGUUUCGGGUUUGAUCCUUGGCCUUGCUCAGUGGGUUGUGGAUCCAGUGUUGCCGUGAGUUGUGGUGUAGGUGGCAGAUGUGGCUCGGAUCCCAAGUUGCUCUGGCUCUGGCGUAGGCUGGCAGCUACAGCUCCAAUUAGACCCCUGGCCUGGGAACCUCCAUGUGCCGUGGGUGCAGCCCUAGAGAAGACAAAACACAAAAAGACCAAAAAAAAAAGAAUGUAUUGUUAUUUAUGGUUAACACAAAUACAUUCCACACAUUUGAUUUUUAUACAUGUUCAAUAUUCUACAUAUGCUAUAUAUAUUCCUCUGUAUUUGCUGUAUUUUUCUAAGUAUAUUUUUCUAGGGACUUUAAAAUUCCAUCAGUUUUUAAAAAGGAACUACAUAUUUGCUUAGAAAUGGAUGUACCUUUUACAAUCCUUUUACUCUUGUGGGGAGAUUUUUUUCUUAAUUAUCGAUGGCAAUGGGGAUGAGAUCAACUAAAACACACAGUAAAGAAGCUAAUUUUAUCCACCUGUGAGGUAGGAGUUCUUUUCCUUCAUUUGACUUUGAUAUAGUUUUUUUUAAAAAGUGGACCACUUGUCUAAUUUGAAUUUUACUUCUUUUACCCUGCGGGAACAAUUAGAAGGAAGAGAUAAAAUUUCCAACUGGAAAAUCAUCCCAAAUUCGUUAGACUUGUCGCUUAUUUGUCAGUAAGGAGCAAUUUUAAGAUGUGCUUUUCUGCUUGCGUAACGUGUGUAGUCUGAAGCAUUUGGUUACACAGAAUUGGGCAUACAUUUGUGAAAGACUUUACUAAACAAAAAGGAAGAAGGAAAAUAUGCAUUCUUGACAUGUCAGCAAGGGUUUGUUUGGGAUCUUAAGCUUGCCUGGAGUUAUCUAGUGUUAGAGGUCCAGAGUAACUGGGUUUAAAUGUCGCAUGUGAUGACAAGUAGGAAAAUUUGGAAGCUAUUUGCAUGUGAAUUGGGAUAAGGGUGACUGGAUGUUGACUCAUUGUGUGAUGAAUGGUUGCCCUUGGUGAAAUGUUUUACCUUCCAUGAAAUUAUAAACAAUAUUUCUUACUGACUGUAAAAUGUAGACACCAUGCCUAGAAGUGUUUGCUCCUGAAAUGUUACUCCAAUUAGAAAACGGAUUUUUUUAAAAUCCCAAUCAGAGGAAGCAAGGAGACUUGGAGCUUUGCCCUUUUGAGAUUAAAGCUUCUCUUAAUGUGUGUCUGUCUGUCUAGGAGAGGUGAGGGAGAACCGAGCAAUACAUUCCAGGAAGCAUUAGAAGUUAGAGAACCAAGACAUUUUAUUUACGUUCUUUGGGAAAUAUUUUUGAAGUCGCUGGAAGAAAUUGGAUUUAUUCUUAUUUUAUGUUACUAAAAUUCCUCUUGCUAUGGAUCUAAUGUGCUUUUUUUAAUUUAUAAAGUUAAUAUCUUAGUGGAAAUAAAUACAACUCUCCACUCUGAGACUUCAGGAACAAAUUUUUCCUGACCAUGGGUCGGUUUCUCUUUAAGACUUUCAUAAUUAGAGUCUCAGAACCUGGUCAAAAAAAUGGAUUUCUUAAGUUUUUUGUAGAAACAUUAUCAAAUACUUUCAUUGAUUGAAACGAUUGAUUUUUUUCAAGACCACUUUGCUUCUUAGUGCUUUAUUUCAUUAUAUUAAAGUUAGAACAUGAUUUUAUAGAGUGUAUAUUUAUCAGUCAUUUUAUGUGCCUCUGUAUGUAUGUGUGUACAUCUUAUGUUUUAACCCAAUAAUUUUCUAAACCAUCAAAGAGACAUAAGAUUCAUAGCAGCCCCUUGAUUAAACCUCUUGGUCAAACAAUACAUUAGGAUCACGGUCAGAUUAGAGUUCACCAACAAGCCUGAAUUUGGAGCCUGUUAUUGAAACAUGCUGGUUGUGGUUUGAUCUGCAUACUCGUAGGUCGAGACGGUCACAGAUGGGUUUCUGUACUCUGUGAAAAGACACAACAAAACCGAACAUCAGAGACCACCUGGGAAGCCCCCUUCAUGUGAUGUGAAACACCAGCAUCCCGAGACUUUAAGAAGGAGAUGCCUGGAUCAGAGGCUCUGUGGGGCUGCCAGGUUGGGGUACCCCCUACCCCCACCCUGCACACCAGGAUGCCUCGCUGAUUUGAAGAAAUGCCACCAGCAGCUGAUGGCCAGUGCAAAGAGAGAAGACAAUCCCUGCUUGGGGGUCACUGAGCCUGACAUUUUUCUUUCAAGAAAUUGAGCAAAGGCCAGCUCCCCCGGGGCUGUGGAAGGUCAGCAUUCCAGACAGCACCACCUGUGGAAGAGGGUUUGGAAAUUGUUUUUUAAAAAACACUCUCCAAGUUCAUUUCUCUAAGCACAUGCAGUCUGUUUCUAAAACAAAAGGAGCAUUGUCCCUUCCUCUGCUGGAGGUGAUAAUGCUGACCCACAGGUUAGAAUCAUAGAAUUUUCCUCUAGCUGCAUAUAUUUAUAGAUUUACUGCAGCUUAGACUUGUAGGCCAUCUGGAGAAAGGGAAAGAGCCCGUUACACUGGAUUCCAUUGUACUAGGUAUAAUCUUGCAUAUGUAUGCUAACACUUUUUAUCUCAGAGGAUUUUUCAUAAUUUUUGUACGGUGAAGGUCUUAAGCAUAGAUGGUCUUAAGCUGAGAAGCAGGUCAGGGAUAGAGUGUAAGGAUUAGUGAGGUCUGUGGAAAAACAAGGCCUAUGUCUCAGAAGACUUGGUAUUACUUGGCUCUAGCAGAUUGCUGCAUAAAUAACACCGAUCCAGGGCUGUCAGCUCUUAAGAGUUGUUUUCAUGCAGCAGUUCCUGUUGUGGCAGAGCGGAAAUGAAUCUGACUAGGAACCAUGAGGUUGCAGGUUUGAUCCCUGACCUCGCUCAGUAGGUUAAGGAUCCGGCAUUGCCAUGAGCUGUGGUGUAGGUUGCAGACGCGGCUCAGAUCUGAUGUUGUUGUGGCUGUGGCAUAGGCCAGCAGCUGUAGCUCCGAUUAGACCCCUAGUCUGGGAACCUCCAUACGCCACGGGUGCAGCCC